rnacentral:rRNA from 1 species
UACGAAGGGGGCUAGCGUUGUUCGGAAUUACUGGGCGUAAAGGGCGCGUAGGCGGUUUCGCUAGUCAGGCGUGAAAUCCCCAGGCUUAACUUGGGAAUUGCGUUUGAUACUUCGAGACUUGAGUGAGGGAGAGGAUAGUGGAAUUCCCAGUGUAGAGGUGAAAUUCGUAGAUAUUGGGAAGAACACCAGUGGCGAAGGCGGCUAUCUGGACCUCAACUGACGCUGAGGCGCGAAAGCGUGGGGAGCAAACAGG